GUGGGGAAUUUUGGACAAUGGGCGAAAGCCUGAUCCAGCAAUGCCGCGUGUGUGAAGAAGGCCUUCGGGUUGUAAAGCACUUUUGGCAGGGAAGAAACAGUGCGUGCUAAUACCUUGCUGUUUUGACGUUACCGACAGAAUAAGCACCGGCUAACUUCGUGCCAGCAGCCGCGGUAAUACGAAGGGUGCAAGCGUUAAUCGGAAUUACUGGGCGUAAAGCGCGCGUAGGUGGUUUUGUAAGUUGGAGGUGAAAUCCCCGGGCUCAACCUGGGAACUGCCUUUGUGACUGCAAGGCUAGAGUACGGCAGAGGGGGAUGGAAUUCCGCGUGUAGCAGUGAAAUGCGUAGAUAUGCGGAGGAACACCGAUGGCGAAGGCAAUCCCCUGGGCCUGUACUGACGCUCAUGCACGAAAGCGUGGGGAGCAAACAGGAUUAGAAACCCUAGUAGUCC
rnacentral:rRNA from 1 species